rnacentral:rRNA from 1 species
ACAGGGAUUGCCUUAGUAACGGCGAGUGAAGCGGCAACAGCUCAAAUUUGAAAUCUGGCCCUCGGGUCCGAAUUGUAAUUUGUAGAGGAUGAUUUUGGUGCGGUAUCUUCCGAGUUCCUUGGAACAGGACGCCUUAGAGGGUGAGAGCCCCGUACGGUUGAAUGCCUAGCCUCUGUAAAUCUCCUUCGACGAGUCGAGUAGUUUGGGAAUGCUGCUCUAAAUGGGAGGUAAAUUUCUUCUAAAGCUAAAUAUUGGCCAGAGACCGAUAGCGCACAAGUAGAGUGAUCGAAAGAUGAAAAGCACUUUGAAAAGAGGGUUAAAUAGCACGUGAAAUUGUUGAAAGGGAAGGAUUUGUGACCAGACUUUUUCUGGGCGGAUCAUCCGGGGUUCUCUCCGGUGCACUUUGCCCAGUAAAGGCCAGCAUCGAUUUUCGGCGGCGGAUAAAAGCAGUGGGAAUGUGGCUCCCCUCGGGGAGUGUUAUAGCCCAUUGUAUAAUACGCUGCUGGGGAUCGAGGUACGCGCUUCUGCAAGGAUGCUGGCGUAAUGGUUAUCAAUCACCCGUCUUGAAACACGGACCAAGGAGUCGAACAUUUAUGCGAGUGUUUGGGUGUUAAACCCUCACGCGUAAUGAAAGUGAACGGAGGUGAGAGCCCGUACGGGUGCAUCAUCGACCGAUCCUGAAGUUUUCGGAUGGAUUUGAGUAAGAGCAUAACUGUUCGGACCCGAAAGAUGGUGAACUAUGCGUGGAUAGGGUGAAGCCAGAGGAAACUCUGGUGGAGGCUCGCAGCGGUUCUGACGUGCAAAUCGAUCGUCAAAUCUGCGCAUGGGGGCGAAAGACUAAUCGAACCAUCUAGUAGCUGGUUACCGCCGAAG